AUAAUUUUAGUUUAAUAAAAAUAAAAGUUUGUCGUACUUUAGAUGUAAAUUUUACAAAUUAUG
rnacentral:tRNA from 1 species